rnacentral:rRNA from 1 species
CACGGAGUUAGCCGGUGCUUCUUCUGCGGGUAACGUCAAUCGACAGGGUUAUUAACCCCGUCGCCUUCCUCCCCGCUGAAAGUACUUUACAACCCGAAGGCCUUCUUCAUACACGCGGCAUGGCUGCAUCAGGCUUGCGCCCAUUGUGCAAUAUUCCCCACUGCUGCCUCCCGUAGGAGUCUGGACCGUGUCUCAGUUCCAGUGUGGCUGGUCAUCCUCUCAGACCAGCUAGGGAUCGUCGCCUAGGUGGGCCAUUACCCCGCCUACUAGCUAAUCCCAUCUGGGUUCAUCCGAUAGUGAGAGGCCCGAAGGUCCCCCUCUUUGGUCUUGCGACGUUAUGCGGUAUUAGCCACCGUUUCCAGUGGUUAUCCCCCUCUAUCGGGCAGAUCCCCAGACAUUACUCACCCGUCCGCCACUCGUCACCCAAGAGCAAGCUCUCUGUGCUACCGUCCGACUUGCAUGUGUUAGGCCUGCCGCCAGCGUUCAAUCUGAGCCAGGAUA